rnacentral:rRNA from 1 species
UACGAAGGGGGCGAGCGUUGUUCGGAUUUACUGGGCGUAAAGGGCGCGCAGGCGGCUUUGUUUGUCAGGCGUGAAAGCCCCGGGCUUAACCUGGGAACUGCGUUUGAUACGGCAGGGCUAGAGUUCGGGAGAGGAGAGUGGAAUUCCCAGUGUAGAGGUGAAAUUCGUAGAUAUUCGGAAGAACACCAGUGGCGAAGGCGGUCUGCUGGGCAGUUGCUGACACUGAGGCGCGACAGCGUGGGGAGCAAACAGG